UAGGGAAUCUUCGGCAAUGGACGGAAGUCUGACCGAGCAACGCCGCGUGAGUGAAGAAGGUUUUCGGAUCGUAAAGCUCUGUUGUAAGAGAAGAACGAGUGUGAGAGUGGAAAGUUCACACUGUGACGGUAUCUUACCAGAAAGGGACGGCUAACUACGUGCCAGCAGCCGCGGUAAUACGUAGGUCCCGAGCGUUGUCCGGAUUUAUUGGGCGUAAAGCGAGCGCAGGCGGUUAGAUAAGUCUGAAGUUAAAGGCUGUGGCUUAACCAUAGUAGGCUUUGGAAACUGUUUAACUUGAGUGCAAGAGGGGAGAGUGGAAUUCCAUGUGUAGCGGUGAAAUGCGUAGAUAUAUGGAGGAACACCGGUGGCGAAAGCGGCUCUCUGGCCUGUAACUGACGCUGAGGCUCGAAAGCGUGGGGAGCAAACAGGAUUAGAUACCCUGGUAGUCCACGCCGUAAACGAUGAGUGCUAGGUGUUGGGUCCUUUCCGGGACUCAGUGCCGCAGCUAACGCAUUAAGCACUCCGCCUGGGGAGUACGACCGCAAGGUUG
rnacentral:rRNA from 1 species